AAAAAACGAAGCGCACCGAAGCACCGAGGCGGCCAUCAACGGCGCCAUCUUGGAUCACAUAUCAAUAUUACCCAUUCUAUUAUUUUUCUUUGUAUUUGCUGUAAUGUUAUGGCGUUGUUUUCUAGGACCAUGUUUAUGAUUUCAGUUUCCUGUUCAGGAGACAGAACACGUUCCCGACCACCUUGUGUUGGUAAUCUUUCAGUUCAGCCCAACAAAUAGUAAAAUACUGUAAAUACAAAGUAGGUAUACCAUUUAAACCGCUACACUGGUAUAAGAUUUUCCUUACAGUAUAAAUGGUGUUAAACCGUAACAACUCACGUUGCUCUUCGGAAGGUGGCAGAAUUUAUUUUUACACGUCAUCCCAGGGUGUGUAGCGAUUGAGUCGUGGUUAUAACCUUAUAACAACAAUGAAUAACCCACAACAAACACUCUUUGAACUUUUUUUUUUCAAAUUUAUGUUUUCACACCACCGUUUCCCCUCAAGAGUUUAUAGUAUGAGUAUUUUCAUCUUGAAUCCAUCAACCAGGUUUUUAAGCAAAUCAAUGUUAAUGAGGCCACAGGUCCAGAUGGUGUAUAUGCUUAUUUAUGUGCAGGAAAGUUUUUUGUAACAGUAGACACUGUGGGCCUCAAUGCUUUUGUGCCCACUUCAGGCCUGUAUGUUUUGCAACGUGUGCGCCACGGCGAGGUAUCUACAAAAAUGGGGAAAGUGGGAGUUUCCUAUAAAGAGAUGAGAGGGGAUGCGUAAAGUGCGCCUCAUUGUGUUUUGCAUCUCCGACCCAGCGUUCACAUUCCAUUCCAGCAGUUGUUAAACUCCUCGCUACAUUACAACCAUCAGCAUCAGUAUCAUUUCAAACAGUCAUAGCAUCAGUUGUAUGCUGCAGCGUAAACUGAAGUGUCACAGCGCGCAUUGACCAUGGAGCUGAAAACGCUACGUUCGCAAAUGUACGUACUAUGAGGGCCUGAAUGUUUCCAAGACGAAUUUCCUUCGGGACAAUAAAAUCUAUUGGUGCCAAACCAACCUUUUUUAAAAGCAAAAUAAUACAUUUUUGUGUCUAAAUCCUACUUUUUUAUCUCUCUAAACAUUGCCGUUACUGAAGGAAAGAAGAAAAACAUUGGUGUGAUUCAAAACUCUUGUAUUGGUAAUAGUUGCAUCUGUGUACUGUGUGUGUGUGUUAGUCCAAUUAGUAUGAUGCAAUAUCCCAAACACACGGCUGAUGUAAGGACACUGUAAUGAGGGUCAUUAGUGGGCCAUCCCCCAUGGGAGUGGCCUGACUGCAGCCAGUCCCUAAACAGCUAAUUAUGACCCAGUAGUCCCAGUAUGAAGGCCUCUGGGGAAACUAAGUUUUCUGAAACAACAGGAUGAUGAGGUCAGUGUUUUCAGUAUUAACUUUUGGUAUCAGCUAACAAAGUUGUGUUAGUGCCUAAACCAAAACACAAAUACAAAUUUAUUACACAAAAUUACACAAAUUUUCCACAAAUGUUUUAGAUUUUUAUUUUAGCUUCUUACCUUCAAUGAAGCCACCCAUCCCAUUUUAUCCCUGACGUUCGCACUCAUUGAUUAUCAACCUAACGUGGUUUUAUGUUUGUAUGAGUUUUUAUUCCUCUCCCGUUUUUAUUGAUUUUCUACAAAUACAUUAUUCAACUGAGAUUGAGAGAUUCUUGCUUUUAGUUUUCUUUCUAUCGUUUCGACACAGUUAGCAGAUGUCAAACAGGUCAUGGAGCUGAUUGAGAGACUUUAAAACACAGAGACGCUGCUGCCAUUCGCGUCGUAGUUGCUCUCCACGCUCUCACUAUAAAGUCAAAAAGAAAUACAUAAACAUUUCAAUUUUGUUUUGUUUACCUUGACCGCUGCUACCGUUGGGUCUGAUGGCGGUGGGCCCUGCCUUGGUUUCACAUCUGGUUGGGUUGAUCCGGGCCCGUCUGCCACAGCUCGUCUCUGAGAGGGGGAGAGGGGUUAACUUCAGGGCGCCGUUGGCCUUGUUCUUUGCCCUCCUCUUCGUCACUGACUCCAGACUGUCCAAUUCCAGCCUAGCCACACAGCUGGCCUUCCUCACCGGCCCACAGCGAAGAGUGGUGGCUGCUUCUGACCAGGGAAAGACCACCACGGGCUUGUUGCACACAAUACAAUACAAAGAGUCUCCAUUAGACAAAUCCGCUUUGUUCCUUCCUGAAGGGGUUCACCACACAUCCAGGUGUGUAUCGCCCACGCAUGAGCUCCUGCAGAACUUGUACUCGGUGCUCGGUUCUAAAACACACCUUCCUCUCAGGCCCUCCUAUCAUCUCACGACAGUGUAGCCCAGUCAGACUAUGGACCGUUUCUAGCGCCUCUGCCUGAUAAGAUGCCCGAGGGUGAGGAGGCCAUGAGGAUCUUUUGUCUGGUGAAAAACAACCAGCCACUGGUCAGACAUUCCAAGAUGUUUUACUUAACUAAAAGUAGUAAAUGUAACAAGUACAAAGUCCUGCAUCAAAACUCUUUCUCAAGUACAAAUGUACUAUUAUUAUGUGAACACAUAUAGAGGGUUCGUUGUACCAAGUUGAAUAUUACUGCCAUGGUUUGUGGGAACCACACUAAGACCAUAAGGACGGAUUUAAGUAGAGGUGUGGAUUUGAAACUGCCUCACAGAUAAUUAAUACGAUUUCAAGUUGUGAGAAGGGGUCUUUCAUUGUCUUCUGUUCACAAAGAACAGAGGAAGUGUAGGAGACGUAGUACGAGGGAUUCGCGGCGGUUGGAGCAGCCUCCAUCGCCUCACAUUGGACCGCCUCGUCCCCGGAAGGGGGGCUUGGUCGGGAGAGGAGCUUAGGGCGACUGAAAGCGAAGCCAGGCCCUUCUCCAGGGGUGGAAAGUUCCGUCCUUUUCUCCCCCGCUACGAGUCGACGGGAAGCUGCUGUUUGCGUCCACAAACCACAGAGCUUUGGAAGAAAGGUCUCCACCAAUCAGCUCCUUCUGUCUUUAGCCAAACCUCCUGCACUGGUAAGAGGAGGAGACCUGUCAAUCAAUGCAAUCAUCAAGCAUCCAUUCUUUUUUGGAUCUGUCUUUUAAGACGACCAAUCGCCAUAUUGUGAAUAUAGCAGACGGCGUAUUUAUCAGGAAUCACAGUAAUAUCACCAAAUAACGACUGAAUACAUCUGAUGAUGCUUGAUAAAUACAGGCUGAAUGUUAAUACCACACAUUAUCCUUCAUCUGUUUCUGCAUUUGCAAAGACCAUCUUUGGUUCAUUCAGAAAAGGUUGAAAGGUGACAAGUUCAUCAUUCAUUGAGCAUCUUUCAACUUACAAACAUGCUUAUGAUCAUCAAUCGUCAUCUGAUCACCAUCCACCUUUUUCUUCUGACCCUCUUUCGGCUCCUUUUUUACCUGCUCCUGCGCUGCUAUUCUCUUUCAAUAACGUAUAUUUCUGUUGCCGCUUUUUUUCUUGUCAUCUUCCACCUGCCAACAUGGAGGUCCAUUUUUAGAGAAAUCUAAUCACAACCAGGGAGAAGGUGUCUCUACUGGAGGGAGCAGUGAUGACUACGCCUACCCUCCUCCUCCAGUCCAGGUUCACAGUCUGAGCUUUCCCAAUUCCCCAGUCUUUUACAAAAAGACUCAUAGCGCACACAGCACCCUCCAGUCCUGCCUCCCGUCGCUCCGCUCCACCAACCGCUGGCAUGGGACAGGGGUUUCAAACUCCAUCUCAUAACAUUCUCCAAGGAUCUCCUCCGAGUCAUCCAUCAACGACCCACCAACAAUCCCAACCGGCACGGAACAGGCAGGAGCAUCCAGAGCUCACCGCACAGCGCAGCAUGAAGGAACUCAGGUCCGCCGUCCAGACGGUGGCCGCCUGCGCCAAGCACGGAGCUCGAGACGUCCGCCAUCUUGGCCAAGAGAUGGUGGCUGCGGCAGAGAUGAUCACCGACGGCGUGGGAGAGAACGCCCAGGCGCUGAACCUGCUGGCCGAGGUGGUGGACAAGCUCCCUCAAACAAACACACAGAGGUGAGGCCUCCGCGAACGCCCAAACGGGGGACUCCUCCCCCACCUUCUCCAAGGGUCUCCUCGAUGUCUCCGAAAGACGUCCGCAAACUUCCCACGCCUUACCAAACGCACCUCCCGUCCUCGUCUUCUUCUUGCUCUUCUUCGUCUUUGUCUUCGGCGGUCAGUUCCAAACCGGAUGGCUUCGCAACAUCGAAGAGACGCCAACGAACGAACGGAGGCUCCAAAAGAACGGUGGUGACCUUUGGCGCGACCCACAGGGAAGGUCGGACUGGUAGUAAUGGACAGGGGCGACGAUAAGGAGGGACGAGGACACGGGGGAGAUCUACAUCGCCAGGGUGAUUCACGGAGGACUGGCUGACCGCAGCAGACUCCUCCAUCCUGGUGAUCUGUUAGUGGAAGUAAAUGGAAACCCUGUGGUGGGUCUGGAGCCAGAACAGAUCAUCCAGAUACUGAUAAAUUCCCAGGGAACGAUCCUGUUCAAAGUAUUCCUGAAAAAGCUCAAAGCAACAGCAGACAGAAAUCGGUGAGAAACAUCCAGCAAACAUGCUCAGAUGGUGGAGGAAAUACUUUUUCUAAAAGUACAAAUAGAUUAGUGUAAAAAUACCAUCUUUCAAGUUCUGCAUUCAAAAUCCUACGUGAGUAAGAGUACAUAAGUAUUAUCAGCUUUGCAGUGUGACAUGAUAUCCGAUUCUAUCUUACAUUAUGAGACAUUCAAUAAUUUCCCCUCUUUUGGCCUCACGGCUUUAUUUAAAUGAAAAUACCUGGGAGAAGUUUUCAGGGCGUCUCUUUGAUGGAACCGCUAACAUCUCAUGUACACCUGGAUUGAAAAGAUGGUGAAAAGUGAUGUUUGAACCUGGGAGAUUUCGGUUAACCUCCCUCUCUGUGUGUGUGUCAGGUAUAUAUGAGAGCACUGGUGGACUAUUUCCCCUUGCAGGACUCCUCCAUCCCCUGUCCCGAUGCAGGGAUGGCGUUCAGCCGAGGAGAGCUGCUGGAAGUGGUCGACCAGUCGGACGCACACUGGUGGCAGGCCAGGAAGCUCCCGUGCUCCACUUCCUGCGCUGGUCUGAUUCCCUCUGCCAGGAAUGCUGAAGAGGUGACGCCUCACGCACCCUGAAUGUGGACCCUAAUCUGGUUUCAUCAUCCCCCAACAAAUCUUUAAGGGUCACACUUUUAUUAGUAUACAAUACAGGCCGUAAGAUUUUUUUUAAUAUGCAUUCAGCCUUCAUGUAAUUAAUAUGAAAAUGAAAUCCUGAUUCAACUCCCUCCAUACAACAUACUGAACCGAUAUUCAAACUUUUAAACAAAUAAAACAAGUAAAAAAGGAUAAGGAUAAAAUAAAUUAGCAUUAGCAUCACAAGGCAAAGUGACUAAGGGUUAAAUAUUGAAAUGAAUGAAUCGAUGCAGCUUUAUCUAAUAUCAGGCAACUAAACUCUGUAUUCUCUCAUGAAACAAGUUGUUUGAUGCUGUAUCUGAAAUGUAUUGUGUAUCAUCCCUCUCUCAUCUCAUUUGAGCUUGUGUAGCAGUAGUAUCUGGGCUGGCUACGGUUUAUUCCCCUAUAACAUUAUUAAUAUUAGAAGAUAUGUUUAAAAGUUAUAGAGUAGUUUAUUAAGUUUUGCACAAAAGGGUAAUAUUAGCAUUAAUAGAUGCAUUCGCCACAUUGUUAAACAGGUGUUUAAACAUACGACACAGAAGAACUACCUUUGAAAGCACAGCGUGUACAUUGUGAACGUGACUUUAAAGCAACAAAGAAGCCUUUGACAACGUUUCGUUUCCGUCUGUCCUCAGUGACUUACAAUAAUAACGGUGAGUGAGAGCGAUGUUCGCUCAACGUCUCCGCUUUUCUUUCAUUAAAACAGUUGGUCCAAUAGUUUAGCAUCUGUUUGUGUGACUUAGGUUUGAUUUAGUAGGUUUGUGACUAUAUUAAAAAUGUGAGUAUUACAGUAAGUCACUGUCAUGAAUCAUGAGUCAAGGGGCCGUACUGUGCAGGUGUUACAGCGUGUUUAUAUUUCUUUAUCUGUCGAGGGGACACUAAUUUAUUAAAACUGACCUGAAUUGACCCCUGCUGUACUGUAAAGUUAAUAUGUGUGAGCUUGAUCAUUAUCAUUAGUAAACCUCAUACACAUACAAAUGUCUGUAC